UAGCAAUUCCUUCCUUGCUUAGGGUC
rnacentral:piRNA from 1 species